rnacentral:rRNA from 1 species
AGCGAACGCUGGCGGCAGGCCUAACACAUGCAAGUCGAACGAAGUCUUCGGACUUAGUGGCGGACGGGUGAGUAACACGUGGGAACGUACCUUUUGGUUCGGAACAACUCAGGGAAACUUGAGCUAAUACCGGAUGAGCCCUUAGGGGGAAAGAUUUAUCGCCGAAAGAGCGGCCCGCGUUAGAUUAGCUAGUUGGUGAGGUAAAGGCUCACCAAGGCUACGAUCUAUAGCUGGUCUGAGAGGAUGAUCAGCCACACUGGGACUGAGACACGGCCCAGACUCCUACAAAAGGCAGCAGUGGGGAAUCUUGCGCAAUGGGCGAAAGCCUGACGCAGCCAUGCCGCGUGAAUGAUGAAGGUCUUAGGAUUGUAAAAUUCUUUUACCAGGGACGAUAAUGACGGUACCUGGAGAAAAAGCCCCGGCUAACUUCGUGCCAGCAGCCGCCGUAAGAC